AUUGAACGCUGGCGGCAGGCCUAACACAUGCAAGUCGAGCGGAUGAAGGGAGCUUGCUCCUGGAUUCAGCGGCGGACGGGUGAGUAAUGCCUAGGAAUCUGCCUGGUAGUGGGGGAUAACGUCCGGAAACGGGCGCUAAUACCGCAUACGUCCUGAGGGAGAAAGUGGGGGAUCUUCGGACCUCACGCUAUCAGAUGAGCCUAGGUCGGAUUAGCUAGUUGGUGGGGUAAAGGCCCACCAAGGCGACGAUCCGUAACUGGUCUGAGAGGAUGAUCAGUCACACUGGAACUGAGACACGGUCCAGACUCCUACGGGAGGCAGCAGUGGGGAAUAUUGGACAAUGGGCGAAAGCCUGAUCCAGCCAUGCCGCGUGUGUGAAGAGGGUCUUCGGAUUGUAAAGCACUUUAAGUUGGGAGGAAGGGCAGUAAGUUAAUACCUUGCUGUUUUGACGUUACCAACAGAAUAAGCACCGGCUAACUUCGUG
rnacentral:rRNA from 1 species